rnacentral:rRNA from 1 species
AGAGUUUGAUCAUGGCUCAGGACGAACGCUGGCGGCGUGCUUAACACAUGCAAGUGGAGCGACGAACCAGGGCUUGCCCUGGGGCAGAGCCGCGAACGGGUGAGUAACACGUGGGUAACCCACCCCGAUGAUCGGGACAACCCGGGGAAACUCGGGCUAAUACCGAAUGUGCCUUCAGUUCAUGAGGACUGAAAGUAAAGAUAGCUUCGGCCUUCGCAUCGGGACGGGCCCGCGGCCCAUUAGCUUGUUGGUGAGGUAACGGCUCACCAAGGCGACGAUGGGUAGCUGGUCUGAGAGGACGAUCAGCCACACUGGGACUGAGACACGGCCCAGACUCCUACGGGAGGCAGCAGUGGGGAAUCUUGCGCAAUGCGCGAAAGCGUGACGCAGCAACGCCGCGUGGGGGAAGAAGGCCUUCGGGUUGUAAACCCCUUUCAGUUGGGACGAAGCUUCAGCGGUGAAUAGCCGCUUGGAGUGACGGUACCUUCACAAGAAACCCCGGCUAACUACGUGCCAGCAGCCGCGGUAAUACGUAGGGGGCUAGCGUUGUCCGGAAUCAUUGGGCGUAAAGAGCGUGUAGGCGGCCCGAUAAGUCCGCUGUGAAAGUCGGGGGCUCAACCCUCGAAUGCCGGUGGAUACUGUCGGGCUAGAGUGCGGAAGAGGCGAGUGGAAUUCCUGGUGUAGCGGUGAAAUGCGCAGAUAUCAGGAGGAACACCAAUUGCGAAGGCAGCUCGCUGGGACGUUACUGACGCUGAGACGCGAAAGCGUGGGGAGCAAACAGGAUUAGAUACCCUAGUAGUCC